rnacentral:misc_RNA from 1 species
GAUGAAGAACGCAGUGAAAUGCGAUAAGUAAUGUGAAUUGCAGAAUUCAGUGAAUCAUCGAAUCUUUGAACGCACAUUGCGCCCGCUAGUAUUCUGGCGGGCAUGCCUGUUCGAGCGUCAUUUCAACCAUCAAGCCCUAGGCUUGCGUUGGAGCCCUGCGGCUGCCGCAGGCUCCCAAAUCCAGUGGCGGGCUCGUCGUCGUACCGAGUGCAGUAAACAUCCUCGCUCAGGGAACGUGACGGGUUCUUGCCGUGAAACCCCCCACAUAUCAAGGUUGACCUCGGAUCAGGUAGGAAUACCCGCUGAACUUAAGCAUAUCAAUAAGCGGAGGA